ensembl:lncRNA
GUUACUACACUCAGAUUACUACACUCAGGUUACUACACUCAGGUUACUACACUCGGAUUACUACACUCGGAUUACUACACUCAGAUUACUACACUCAGAUUACUACACUCAGAUUACUACACUCAGAUUACUACACUCGGGUUACUACACUCGGGUUACUACACUCAGGUUACUACACUCAGGUUACUACACUCAGGUUACUACACUCAGAUUACUACACUCAGGUUACUACACUCAGAUUACUACACUCAGAUUACUACACUCGGGUUACUACACUCAGAUUACUACACUCGGGUUACUACACUCGGGUUACUACACUCGGGUUAGUACACUCGGGUUACUACACUCGGGUUACUACACUCGGGUUACUACACUCGGGUUAGUACACUCGGGUUACUACACUCGGGUUACUACACUCGGGUUAGUACACUCGGGUUAGUACACUCGGGUUAGUACACUCGGGUUAGUACACUCGGAUUACUACACUCGGAUUACUACACUCGGAUUACUACACUCGGAUUACUACACCGGGUUACUACACUCGGGUUACUACACUCGGAUUACUACACUCGGAUUACUACACUCAGGUUAGUACACUCAGAUUACUACACUCAGAUUACUACACUCAGAUUAAUACACUCAGAUUACUACACUCGGGUUACUACACUCAGAUUACUACACUC